AAAAUGUGGCAUUUAUACACAAUGGAGUAUUACUCUGCAUUAAAAAAUGACAAAAUCAUGGAAUUUGCAGGGAAAUGGAUGGCAUUAGAGCAGAUUAUGCUAAGUGAAGCUAGCCAAUCCCUAAAAAACAAACGCCAAAUGUCUUCUUUGAUAUAAGGAGAGUAACUAAGAACAGAGUAGGGAGGAAGAGCAUGAGAAGAAGAUUAACAUUAAACAAGGACGAGAGGUGGGAGGGAAAGGGAGAGAGAAGGGAAAUUGCAUGGAAAUGGAAGGAG
rnacentral:lncRNA from 1 species